GGGUUGUGAGGUUAAGCGACUAAGCGUACACGGUGGAUGCCCUGGCAGUCAGAGGCGAUGAAGGACGUGCUAAUCUGCGAUAAGCGUCGGUAAGGUGAUAUGAACCGUUAUAACCGGCGAUUUCCGAAUGGGGAAACCCAGUGUGUUUCGACACACUAUCAUUAACUGAAUCCAUAGGUUAAUGAGGCGAACCGGGGGAACUGAAACAUCUAAGUACCCCGAGGAAAAGAAAUCAACCGAGAUUCCCCCAGUAGCGGCGAGCGAACGGGGAGCAGCCCAGAGCCUGAAUCAGUGUGUGUGUUAGUGGAAGCGUCUGGAAAGGCGCGCGAUACAGGGUGACAGCCCCGUACACAAAAAUGCACAUAUUGUGAGCUCGAUGAGUAGGGCGGGACACGUGGUAUCCUGUCUGAAUAUGGGGGGACCAUCCUCCAAGGCUAAAUACUCCUGACUGACCGAUAGUGAACCAGUACCGUGAGGGAAAGGCGAAAAGAACCCCGGCGAGGGGAGUGAAAAAGAACCUGAAACCGUGUACGUACAAGCAGUGGGAGCACGCUUAGGCGUGUGACUGCGUACCUUUUGUAUAAUGGGUCAGCGACUUAUAUUCUGUAGCAAGGUUAACCGAAUAGGGGAGCCGAAGGGAAACCGAGUCUUAACUGGGCGUUAAGUUGCAGGGUAUAGACCCGAAACCCGGUGAUCUAGCCAUGAGCAGGUUGAAGGUUGGGUAACACUAACUGGAGGACCGAACCGACUAAUGUUGAAAAAUUAGCGGAUGACUUGUGGCUGGGGGUGAAAGGCCAAUCAAACCGGGAGAUAGCUGGUUCUCCCCGAAAGCUAUUUAGGUAGCGCCUCGUGAAUUCAUCUCCGGGGGUAGAGCACUGUUUCGGCAAGGGGGUCAUCCCGACUUACCAACCCGAUGCAAACUGCGAAUACCGGAGAAUGUUAUCACGGGAGACACACGGCGGGUGCUAACGUCCGUCGUGAAGAGGGAAACAACCCAGACCGCCAGCUAAGGUCCCAAAGUCAUGGUUAAGUGGGAAACGAUGUGGGAAGGCCCAGACAGCCAGGAUGUUGGCUUAGAAGCAGCCAUCAUUUAAAGAAAGCGUAAUAGCUCACUGGUCGAGUCGGCCUGCGCGGAAGAUGUAACGGGGCUAAACCAUGCACCGAAGCUGCGGCAGCGACGCUGAUGCGUUGUUGGGUAGGGGAGCGUUCUGUAAGCCUG
rnacentral:rRNA from 1 species